AGUGAACGCUGGCGGUAGGCCUAACACAUGCAAGUCGAACGGCAGCACAGUAAGAGCUUGCUCUUACGGGUGGCGAGUGGCGGACGGGUGAGGAAUACAUCGGAAUCUACUUUUUCGUGGGGGAUAACGUAGGGAAACUUACGCUAAUACCGCAUACGACCUACGGGUGAAAGCAGGGGAUCUUCGGACCUUGCGCGAUUGAAUGAGCCGAUGUCGGAUUAGCUAGUUGGCGGGGUAAAGGCCCACCAAGGCGACGAUCCGUAGCUGGUCUGAGAGGAUGAUCAGCCACACUGGAACUGAGACACGGUCCAGACUCCUACGGGAGGCAGCAGUGGGGAAUAUUGGACAAUGGGCGCAAGCCUGAUCCAGCCAUACCGCGUGGGUGAAGAAGGCCUUCGGGUUGUAAAGCCCUUUUGUUGGGAAAGAAAAGCAGCAGGUUAAUACCCCGCUGUUCGGACGGUACCCAAAGAAUAAGCACCGGCAACUUCGUG
rnacentral:rRNA from 1 species